rnacentral:rRNA from 1 species
UACGGAGGGAGCUAGCGUUGUUCGGAAUUACUGGGCGUAAAGCGCGCGUAGGCGGCUUUGUAAGUUAGAGGUGAAAGCCCGGGGCUCAACCCCGGAAUUGCCUUUAAGACUGCAUCGCUUGAAUCCGGGAGAGGUGAGUGGAAUUCCUGGUGUAGCAGUGAAAUGCGUAGAGAUCAGGAGGAAUACCGAUGGCGAAGGCAGGUCUCUGGGCUGAUACUGACGCUCAUGCACGAAAGCGUGGGGAGCAAACAGG